GGCAGGUCAGCAUACUGCCGUGAAUACGUUCCCGGGCCUUGUACACACCGCCCGUCACACCAUGAGAGUUGGGGAUACCCGAAGCCUGUGAGCUAACUAUUUAUAGGAGCAGCAGUCGAAGGUAGAAUCAAUGAUUGGGGUGAAGUCGUAACAAGGUAAC
rnacentral:rRNA from 1 species